UAGUCCUACGGGAGGCAGCAGUGGGGAAUACUGCACAAUGGGGGAAACCCUGAUGCAGCAACGCCGCGUGAGUGAAGAAGUAUUUCGGUAUGUAAAGCUCUAUCAGCAGGGAAGAAGAUGACGGUACCUGACCAAGUAGCCCCGGCUAACUACGUGCCAGCAGCCGCGGUAAUACGUAGGGGGCAAGCGUUAUCCGGAUUUACUGGGUGUAAAGGGAGCGCAGACGGCAGCGCAAGUCUGGAUUGAAAGCC
rnacentral:rRNA from 1 species